UACGAAGGGGGCUAGCGUUGCUCGGAAUCACUGGGCGUAAAGGGCGCGUAGGCGGCCGAUUAAGUCGGGGGUGAAAGCCUGUGGCUCAACCACAGAAUUGCCUUCGAUACUGGUUGGCUUGAGACCGGAAGAGGACAGCGGAAUUCCGGGUGUAGUGGUGGAAUGCGUAGAGAUCCGGAGGAACACCAGCGGCGAAGGCGGCAUCCUGGACUGGUCCUGACACUCAGGAGCGAAAGCGUGGGGAGCGAUCCGG
rnacentral:rRNA from 1 species